rnacentral:rRNA from 1 species
UACGGGUGCGGAACACGUGUGCAACCUGCCUUUAUCUGGGGGAUAGCCUUUCGAAAGGAAGAUUAAUACCCCAUAAUAUGUUGAAUGGCAUCAUUCGACAUUGAAAACUCCGGUGGAUAGAGAUGGGCACGCGCAAGAUUAGAUAGUUGGUGAGGUAACGGCUCACCAAGUCUACGAUCUUUAGGGGGCCUGAGAGGGUGAUCCCCCACACUGGUACUGAGACACGGACCAGACUCCUACGGGAGGCAGCAGUGAGGAAUAUUGGACAAUGGGUGAGAGCCUGAUCCAGCCAUCCCGCGUGAAGGACGACUGCCCUAUGGGUUGUAAACUUCUUUUGUAUAGGGAUAAACCUACCCUCGUGAGGGUAGCUGAAGGUACUAUACGAAUAAGCACCGGCUAACUCCGUGCCAGCAGCCGCGGUAAUACGGAGGGUGCAAGCGUUAUCCGGAUUUAUUGGGUUUAAAGGGUCCGUAGGCGGAUCUGUAAGUCAGUGGUGAAAUCUCACAGCUUAACUGUGAAACUGCCAUUGAUACUGCAGGUCUUGAGUGUUGUUGAAGUAGCUGGAAUAAGUAGUGUAGCGGUGAAAUGCAUAGAUUUACU